rnacentral:antisense_RNA from 1 species
CUUCACCGAUCCCAGCCGCAGCGGGCGCUCGGCCGGGCGGUUGCGGCCGUAGGUGUUGACCAGGGCCUGGGCCUC